CUCUCAUAUAUACAAUUACAAGUUCCAAGAAAGACAAGAGGGCAAGUAGAAAUGGUCAGAGACAAUAGGUACAGCACAUCUUCAAGAGGUGGUGGAAAUGGAGGAGGAGGAGUAGGUGGUGGUGAUGGUGGUGCUGAGUUGAUGAUGAGUAAUAAUACCGUUAAGCCUGCAUGGCUAGAGGGAUUGAUGGCGGAGACAUUCUUUGGUGGUUGUGGGGUCCAUGAGAAUCGCAGGAAGAAUGAGAAGAACAUCUUUUGCUUGCUCUGUUGCCUUAGUAUCUGCCCUCACUGCCUCCCUUCUCAUAGCUCUCACCCUCUCCUCCAGGUGAGGAGAUAUGUUUAUCAUGAUGUUGUUAGACUGGAGGAUCUUGAGAAGCUUAUUGACUGUUCUUAUAUUCAGCCCUAUACUAUAAACAGUGCUAAAGUGAUAUUCUUGAAUCAGAGGCCACAGUCAAGGUCUUGUAAGGGCUCUGCCAAUGUAUGCUUCACUUGUGACAGGAUUCUCCAAGAGCCAUUUCACUUCUGCUCUCUUUCGUGCAAGGUUGAUCACUUGGUGGAACAAGGGGAGGAUCUUUCUGCCAUUCUAUACAGAAUUGAUGAAUGUGAGUUUGCAUUUUCACAAUUAGAAGGAUUAAGAAUGGACAUCUCUGAGAUCAUUGAUGAUGAUGGUCACAAUACCCCUAACUCCAUUCCAGAGGACCACGAUCAAUUCAAACGUUCAUCAUGCUCCAAUGACACCAUGGGCAAUUCUGGAAUUUCAAAGGAAUCUGACGUUGUGAAAAGGAAGAAGAAAGGAAGCGGCUUCCUCCCAGGGUUUGUACUCUCAUUGAGCAGCAGAAGAAAGGGUGCUCCUCAUAGGGCUCCUCUUUCUUGAAUAAUGUUGAGAAAAAUUCACAUUUGAAAAAAAAAC
rnacentral:misc_RNA from 1 species